rnacentral:rRNA from 1 species
UACGGAGGGAGCGAGCGUUAAUCGGAAUUACUGGGCGUAAAGCGCGCGUAGGCGGCUUUGUAAGUCGGAUGUGAAAGCCCAGGGCUCAACCACGGAAUUGCGUUUGAAACUGCUUAGCUUGAGUACAGGAGAGGAAAGCGGAAUUCCCAGUGUAGCGGUGAAAUGCAUUGAUAUUGGGAAGAACAUCUGUGGCGAAGGCGGCUUUCUGGUCUGUUACUGACGCUGAGAUACGAAAGCCAGGGGAGCAAAGGGG